rnacentral:rRNA from 1 species
GCGAUCAUACCAACACUAAUGUAUCGGAUCCCAUCAGAACUCCGAAGUUAAGCAUGCUUGGUCGAGAACAGUACUAGGAUGGGUGCCCCCUUGGGAAAUCCUCGUGUUGCACCU